rnacentral:rRNA from 1 species
UACGUAGGGUCCGAGCGUUGUCCGGAAUUAUUGGGCGUAAAGAGCUCGUAGGCGGUGUGUCGCGUCGGCCGUGAAAACCUGCAGCUUAACUGUGGGCUUGCGGUCGAUACGGGCAUCACUGGAGUUCGGCAGGGGAGACUGGAAUUCCAGGUGUAGCGGUGAAAUGCGUAGAUAUCUGGAGGAACACCGGUGGCGAAGGCGGCAUUCUGGACCAUAACUGACACUGAGAGACGAAAGCCAGGGGAGCAAACGGG